rnacentral:rRNA from 1 species
UGUAAGCGUAUACCAAAGUUGUUGCAGUUAAAACGCUCGUAGUCGGAAUUUGGCAGUUCCGGAUGUGUGCACGUCGUGUGCGCACUUCGCGGGGAUUGCUUUUGUGGUCUUGCGUAGGAUGAGGCACUUUUAUUAGUGAACGUCCUCACGCAACCACUUUUUACUGUGAGAAAAUCAGAGUGCUCAAAGCAGGCAUUUGCCGUGAAUGUAUUAGCAUGGAAUAAUAGAAUAGGGCUUGGUUCUAUUUUGUUGGUUUGUCGGGACUGAGUAAUGAUUAAGAGGGACAGUUGGGGGCAUUUGUAUUUCGGUGCUAGAGGUGAAAUUCUUAGAUUACCGAAAGACAAACUGCUGCGAAAGCGUCUGCCAAGGAUGUUUUCAGUGA